UUUGUUAUUUAUAAAUCAAAUGCAUGGUACUUAUCUUCAUCCCUGUGCAGUCCUAUGAUUGAUACGGAACCUAACCUUUCUAUUUCAUCUCAACAAUAGUGGAUUAUUUCAGAUACGAUGUCCCUAACUAUCUAAGAUUGCACUAAAUUUGGAAACCAUUUUUCAGUGCCUGUAAGCAAGUUUGAAUCAGAAGAUGAACUGAUAGUUGUUGGAGAUGGUCAUUCAGGAACCAUAUAUGUUCAUGCAGCUGAAAAUACCUACGGGAUCAAUCUCUUUCAGUUAGGAAUCGACAGAUCCAAGGUAAAGAAAACCCUACUUUUUGUAGCACUACUGAUUCUCUUUUUGAUUAACUCCUCUCUCUUUCUAUACAUGCUUGGAUCUUAGAAUCUGUUCUCUUUUAGAUUUGUAUAUAUGCUUGGAUCCUCACAGCUCUUGUAUAUGUUGUUUUGUUAUUUAUUUAAUGGAA